rnacentral:hammerhead_ribozyme from 1 species
AUCCAGAUGACGAGUCCCAAAUAGGACGAAGAACGCAUCCUGGAU